GUUAUAUGGUCAAGUGAAUAAGCGUGCACGGUGGAUGCCUUGGCAGUCAGAGGCGAUGAAGGACGUGGUAGCCUGCGAAAAGCUUCGGGGAGUCGGCAAACAGACUUUGAUCCGGAGAUGUCCGAAUGGGGAAACCCACCUAGUUUACUAGGUAUCUCUUAGCUGAAUACAUAGGCUUUGAGAAGCGAACUCGGGGAACUGAAACAUCUAAGUACCCGAAGGAAAAGAAAUCAACCGAGAUUCCCUUAGUAGCGGCGAGCGAACGGGGAGUAGCCCUUAAGCGGCAUUGUGGUUAAAAGAACGCUCUGGAAAGUGCGGCCAUAGAGGGUGAUAGCCCCGUAUUUGAAAACCUAAUUGUCGUGAAAACGAGUAAGGCGGGACACGUGAUAUCCUGUCUGAAGAUGGGGGGACCAUCCUCCAAGGCUAAAUACUCCUGACUGACCGAUAGUGAACCAGUACCGUGAGGGAAAGGCGAAAAGAACCCCUGUGAGGGGAGUGAAAUAGACCCUGAAACCGUGUACGUACAAGCAGUGGGAGCCGUUUACGGACGGUGACUGCGUACCUUUUGUAUAAUGGGUCAGCGACUUACUUUCAGUGGCAAGCUUAACCGAGUAGGGGAGGCGUAGGGAAACCGAGUCUUAAUAGGGCGUCAAGUCGCUGGGAGUAGACCCGAAACCGGGCGAUCUAUCCAUGGGCAGGUUGAAGGUUGAGUAACAUCAACUGGAGGACCGAACCGACUACCGUUGAAAAGUUAGCGGAUGACCUGUGGAUCGGAGUGAAAGGCUAAUCAAGCUCGGAGAUAGCUGGUUCUCCUCGAAAGCUAUUUAGGUAGCGCCUCAUGUCUCACCUUGGGGGGUAGAGCACUGUUUCGGCUAGGGGGUCAUCCCGACUUACCAACCCGAUGCAAACUCCGAAUACCCAAGAGUGCAAUCAUGGGAGACACACGGCGGGUGCUAACGUCCGUCGUGAAAAGGGAAACAACCCAGACCGCCAGCUAAGGUCCCAAAAUUCUGGUUAAGUGGGAAACGAUGUGGGAAGGCUUAGACAGCUAGGAGGUUGGCUUAGAAGCAGCCACCCUUUAAAGAAAGCGUAAUAGCUCACUAGUCGAGUCGGCCUGCGCGGAAGAUAUAACGGGGCUCAAACCAGAUACCGAAGCUGCGGAUGCUUAGAAUUUCUAGGCAUGGUAGAGGAGCGUUGUGUAAGCCGUUGAAGCGGAAGGUGGGAACCACCGUGGAGGUAUCACAAGUGCGAAUGCUGACAUAAGUAACGAUAAGGGGUGUGAAAAACAUCCCCGCCGGAAGACCAAGGUUUCCUAUCCAAUGUUAAUCAGGGUAGGGUGAGUCGGCCCCUAAGGCGAGGCAGAAAUGCGUAGUCGAUGGGAAACGGGCUAAUAUUCCCGUACCGGCUGUAACUGCGAUGGGGAGACGGAGAAGGCUAGGCCAGCAUGGCGAUGGUUGUCCAUGUUUAAGGGUGUAGGCUGAGUGAGUAGGCAAAUCCGCUCGCUCAAGGCUGAGACCUGAUGACGAGACUCUUUUGAGUCGAAGUGGUUGAUGCCCGGCUUCCAGGAAAAUCCUCUAAGCUUCAGGUUACAGACGACCGUACCCCAAACCGACACAGGUGGUCAGGUUGAGAAUACCCAGGCGCUUGAGAGAACUCGGGUGAAGGAACUAGGCAAAAUGGUGCCGUAACUUCGGGAGAAGGCACGCCGGUGAUGGUGAUGAGACUUGCUCUCUAAGCUGUCGUCGGUCGAAGAUACCAGGUGGCUGCGACUGUUUAUUAAAAACACAGCACUCUGCAAACACGAAAGUGGACGUAUAGGGUGUGACGCCUGCCCGGUGCCGGAAGGUUAAUUGAUGGGGUUAGCGCAAGCGAAGCUCUUGAUCGAAGCCCCGGUAAACGGCGGCCGUAACUAUAACGGUCCUAAGGUAGCGAAAUUCCUUGUCGGGUAAGUUCCGACCUGCACGAAUGGCGUAACGAUGGCCACACUGUCUCCACCCGAGACUCAGUGAAAUUGAACUCGCUGUGAAGAUGCAGCGUCCCCGCGGCUAGACGGAAAGACCCCGUGAACCUUUACUAUAGCUUCACAGUGGACUUUGACAUGACUUGUGUAGGAUAGCUGGGAGGCUUUGAAACUUGGACGCCAGUUCGAGUGGAGCCGAUCUUGAAAUACCAGCCUGGUCCUGUUGAGGUUCUAACUCAGAUCCCUUAUCGGGAUCGAGGACAUUGUGUGGUGGGUAGUUUGACUGGGGCGGUCUCCUCCCAAAGAGUAACGGAGGAGCACGAAGGUACCCUCAGGCUGGUCGGAAAUCAGCCAAUGAGCGCAAGAGUAGAAGGGUGCUUGACUGCGAGACAGACACGUCGAGCAGGUGCGAAAGCAGGUUCUAGUGAUCCGGUGGUUCUGUAUGGAAGGGCCAUCGCUCAACGGAUAAAAGGUACUCCGGGGAUAACAGGCUGAUACCGCCCAAGAGUUCACAUCGACGGCGGUGUUUGGCACCUCGAUGUCGGCUCAUCACAUCCUGGGGCUGAAGCCGGUCCCAAGGGUAUGGCUGUUCGCCAUUUAAAGUGGUACGCGAGCUGGGUUUAGAACGUCGUGAGACAGUUCGGUCCCUAUCUGCCGUGGGCGUUUGAGAUUUGAGAAGAGUUGCUCCUAGUACGAGAGGACCGGAGUGAACGAACCUCUGGUGUUCCGGUUGUCACGCCCGUGGCAUUGCCGGGUAGCUACGUUCGGACGGGAUAACCGCUGAAAGCAUCUAAGCGGGAAGCCCCCUUCAAGAUGAGAUCUCACUGGACCCUUGAGGUCCCUAAAGAGCCGUCCGAGACCAGGACGUUGAUAGGCAGGGUGUGUAAGCGUUGUAAGGCGUUGAGCUAACCUGUACUAAUGGCUCGUGAGGCUUGACCAUAUAACGCCGAAGGCGUUUGG
rnacentral:rRNA from 1 species